UUAAUACUCCCUCCGUCCGGAAAUACUUGUCCUAGAGAUGAAUGUAUCUAGACUUAUUUUAGUUAUAGAUACAUCCAUUAUAUCCAUUUCUAGGACAAGUAUUUCCGUACGGAGGGAGUAUUAU
rnacentral:pre_miRNA from 1 species